UUUCCGGUUGAUCCCGCCGGAGGCCAUUGCUAUCGGAGUCCGAUUUAGCCAUGCUAGUCGUGCGAGUUCAGACUCGCGGCACCGAGCUCAGUAACACGUGGCCAAACUACCCUACAGAGACGGAUACCCUCGGGAAACUGAGGUUAACCCGUCAUAUCGAUCUCAGGCUUGAAUCGCAGAGAUCACAAAAUGCCCCGGCGCUGUAGGAUGUGGCUGCGGUUGAUUAGGUAGACGGUGGGGUAACGGCCCACCGUGCCCAUAAUCAGUACAGGUUGUGAGAGCAAGAACCUGGAGACGGAAUCUGAGACAAGAUUCCGGGCCCUACGGGGCGCAGCAGGCGCGAAACCUUUACACUGCACGCACGUGCGAUAAGGGGACUCCGAGUGCGAGGGCAUAUCGUCCUCGCUUUCGUGUACCGUAGGGUGGUACACCAACAAGGGCUGGGCAAGACCGGUGCCAGCCGCCGCGGUAAUACCGGCAGCCCGAGUGAUGACCGAUCUUAUUGGGCCUAAAGCGUCCGUAGCUGGCCGACCAAGUCUACCGGGAAAUCCACCCGCCCAACGGGUGGGCGUCCGGCGGAAACUGUGUGGCUUGGAACCGGAAGGCUCAGAGGGUACGUCCGGGGUAGGAGUGAAAUCCCGUAAUCCCGGACGGACCACCGAUGGCGAAAGCACUCUGAGAAGACGGCUUCGACAGUGAGGGACGAAAGCUAGGGUCUCAAACCGGAUUAGAUACCCGGGUAGUCCUAGCUGUAAACGAUGCUCGUUAGGUGUGGCACCCACUACGAGUGGGUGCUGUGCCGCAGGGAAGCCGCUAAACGAGCCGCCUGGGAAGUACGUCCGCAAGGAUGAAACUUAAAGGAAUUGGCGGGGGAGCACUACAACCGGAGGAGCCUGCGGUUUAAUUGGAUUCAACGCCGGAA
rnacentral:rRNA from 1 species